AAACAAAUGUAAAUCGCGCGUUGAUCUGACAUUUGUGCCCAGUGAGUAUUGUAGUGUACAGAUAAUCACUCAUCGUUCAUGAAUUGCUCUUUUUCUAAUACUGCUGAAUAUGAUUGUUUUUACUAGGCAAGUCAGUUAAGAACACAUUCUUAUUUACAAUGACGGCCUACCGGGGAACAGUGGGUUCAGUGGGUUCAGGGGUAGAACAAUAUACUACGGAAUUUGAUCCUGCAACCUUUCGGUUAUUGGCCCAACGCUCUAACCACUAGGCUACCUGCGCACCAGUUGCAAAAAGAACAACUCAAAUAUUAUUUUCAUGUUAUGUUUGAUGUUUGUCACAGGUGUGUGCUCAUACUUUACAAUAUUAUAUCAUGACCGUUUGGCUUCACGGCAACAUUUGUCAAUCAGUAACCCUUGAUGUUUGGCCAUGUCUCCAGUCAGGUGUCGACGACGCGGCCACCAAACAGACAUUUUAGGCCAUGCAGCACGUAAACAACAAAAACAGACAUAGCUCAUAUCGACGCUUGGCUUUUAGAAUAAUCCAAAUCCGUAGAUCAUCCCACUUUUGCCACCUAAAAAAAGACGGACGUUUUGUAAACGGUAUUUAAAAAGUUGCCAAUAUUGCACAAUAUUAUUUACGACAGCAAUAACCAGGGAGCCACUGGAUCAGUAGGCUUACUUCAUAUUGGAACACAGGAAGUAUUUAAAUAAAUAGAGAGAAAUGUGCGAUUGUGGGUGUCUGUCUGGAUAUUUGGAAAAACCCAGAGCUUGACCAACAAAAGGCCUAAUUGGAAAUGGACGUUUGUUGAAUCAUACAUAUUAUACAUAUUACUAGUUAGGUUACACAAUUAGGCUUCUACUACACAAUUAGAUUGUUUUCAGCUUGAACUCCACAACUUGUGAAUGAUAGGCCUAAACGGAUAUUGCUCUCACCGCCUAUAAGUACGCCUAAGAAUAUUAAUACGCACAGAUCACACAAUGCGUAACUUCCCGUUUCACGCACAGAUAUUUCUAUGCAUUGAGUAAAUAAACAUGCCUCGAUGAUCUACAAGACAUUGUGAAAUACAAUACAAUUUUGUUUUUGCCGACUGAGCCCCCUUCAGCGGUCCAGAAAAUAGUCCACAUAAUAUUCGAAUUCUUGGUGAGAACGUCAACACACUACAACUGUCACUAUUGUGGAAUACAUUGAUUUUGAAUCAACUUUUUGUUUUGAAUGAUUUCUCCAGAUAUUAUCCUCGUUUAAACCCAAUUUCCCGAGAAACGUUUAAACAAUUUCCCGAGAAUCCGUAGGCCUAUGGGCAAUAUUUAUUUUCGAAACCAUUAUUCGUUCUGAAGACCAUGUUGGGUAAACACUUAUUUCAUCAUUAACACGUGAUGUAUAGACAAUCUAACCAAAGGUGGAACACUAGUCAAAAAAGGUUAAUGCUUAAACAUUAAAAAAAGGCCACCGCUCUAUCUCAUAAUUACACAAAAUACAAUAAACUGCAUGAUCCUCACGAGUGUUGUAGGCCUACCCAUUUCGCAACCAUUAAAUAGAAUGAAAACACAUAGGCAUAUGAAUCAAUAACAACCCAAUAAAGUAUAUUAUACAAUUAAGUUGUUGCCUUGAAAUAAAAAACAAUAUCUAUCUCGAUGUAUCCUUUUGGAGUGUGUUGUUUGAUGAUACCUUUUCAUUACAAUGCUAAGAGUAUAGCAUUAUUCUCUCAGGAUAGCUAAGAUAUCAGUCUCCUUGCGUGUUAUGCGUUCAUUUCCAAAGCACAACAACAGUGUAAAGGACCACAGCGGUGUGCUGUGUGCCUUGUGAGACUGUGGAAUCUGACUCCAAUGUUCUGUGAACGAGCAACCAGAGGACGGAUUAGGACCGCGGGGACUCUCUCCUUGUCCCGCAGCGCUUUACCCAAAUCUAAUCUGCCUUUCCCUCCACACACACGGAGCUUCAGGACGCGCCAACAUGACACAUGUAGGCCUAAUGUAAUACGACUUCGAAAGCAUGUGCAAAGAAACGACACCAUCAAACCGACCAGGCGUGAUAGGAAGUUGCCACCUACACCGACUCAGGAGCCAAAGCCGUGCAGCGACAUAUAAAAAAACAGACAUUCUAAACCUAAACAGGUCACAGAAAUGUUGGGAGAGGGCGAUGGCGACGACAGAGGGACAGAGGAGGGACCACACAAGGACAAACCCCGACUAGUGGGAACACGAUUCAACUUCAUGGUCAAUGGGAGGACGUGGCUUUAGCCGUACUAUCUCUUGGAUCAAUUCAAGGGAAACGACUGAUAUCAGUCUCUCAUUUAAAUCUCAAGGACAGAGUACCACAAAACGAGUAAAAUGACAUCAGCGAUGGAGAGUGGACAACCGCAAGAACCGAACUAACCUUGUGUUGGAAUAUGGGUUAUAAUCAUGUGGAUUUAGCUCAGAAUUGGCGAGCAAAUAACUUCACAAGGCAAAAGCUACAUUUUAAAAAUUGUCGCAAUGUACCAUUGGCUUAGCCUAUGUACAUAAUGUUGCAAUGGCUAUAGCUUAAUAAAUUGUGAAACGAAACUGCGUAUUUUUCUCUCCAUUUUAUAGCCUUCUAUAGGAUUCACAGCAGUUUUGGGCAUGUAGUCUAAAAUAGGGUAAAGUAGACCCACCAAUAGCAACAACCUAUGUAUAUCCAAAUAUUUUUUUCUCUGACGGUGACAGAAGCAACAAAAACAGGCCUGCUUUUUGUCGACGCAUCUCGUGCGUUUGAACUUGAUUUUCUCAUAUGGACGUCACGUGUGAUUAUUCUAUUACAUUAUUCACCAGUGAAAUAAAAAAAAUGUGCCAGUAAAAAGAAUUGCCCAUAUAGAGGUGUGACAACAAUGUAUACGCGUGCACUCUUCCUUGGGUCAAUUCGACAUUUAGCUCAAUCAAAAGCUAAAUUAUGCCUCUACUGUAACCUUUUUUAAUUUCAUGUUUAGUAGCCUAGUUGAACACAUUGAGCUGUAUUUUAGCUGUAUUUUAGCUAGGCUACAUUAUCCGUUAUUAUUCUAGUUUAAACAAAUAUCACGCCGAACAUAGGCCUACAAACAAGCCUAAAUCAUACACACGCUAAUUUUCUCCGAUUCUAAAUUCACCCAAUAUCUGAGUAACACAAUUUUUAAA